UGGGGAAUAUUGCACAAUGGGCGCAAGCCUGAUGCAGCAACGCCGCGUGAACGAUGAAGGUCUUCGGAUCGUAAAGUUCUGUUGCAGGGGAAGAUAAUGACGGUACCCUGUGAGGAAGCCCCGGCUAACUACGUGCCAGCAGCCGCGGUAAUACGUAGGGGGCUAGCGUUAUCCGGAUUUACUGGGCGUAAAGGGUGCGUAGGUGGUCUUUCAAGUCGGUGGUUAAAGGCUACGGCUCAACCGUAGUUAGCCUCCGAAACUGGAAGACUUGAGUGCAGGAGAGGAAAGUGGAAUUCCCAGUGUAGCGGUGAAAUGCGUAGAUAUUGGGAGGAACACCAGUAGCGAAGGCGGCUUUCUGGACUGCAACUGACACUGAGGCACGAAAGAGUGGGUAGCAAACAGG
rnacentral:rRNA from 1 species